rnacentral:rRNA from 1 species
AUUGAACGCUGGCGGCAGGCCUAACACAUGCAAGUCGAGCGGAGCGGCGGACGGGUGAGUAAUGCCUAGGAAUCUGCCUGGUAGUGGGGGAUAACGUCCGGAAACGGGCGCUAAUACCGCAUACUAUCAGAUGAGCCUAGGUCGGAUUAGCUAGUUGGUGGGGUAAAGGCCUACCAGGGCGACGAUCCGUAACUGGUCUGAGGGGAUGAUCAGUCACACUGGAACUGGAAACCGGUCCAGACUCCUAGGGGGGGCAGAGGAGGGAAUUUUUGGACAAUGGGCGAAGGCCUGCUCCAGCCAGGCGGGGUGUGUAAAGAAGGUUUUCGGAUGGAAAAGCACUUUAAGUUGGGAGACGUUUCCAACAGAAUAGCACCGGCUAACUACGUGCCAGCAGCCGCGGUAAUAC